rnacentral:tRNA from 1 species
AGUUUAAUAAUUUAUGUUAAAAUAAUAAAUUGCAAAUUUAUUCAAAUCAGUCUGAUUUAAACUU